rnacentral:rRNA from 1 species
AGAGUUUGAUCCUGGCUCAGGACGAACGCUGGCGGCGUGCUUAAUACAUGCAAGUCGAACGGUCAAAUUCAGCAAUGGGUUUGAUAGUGGCGGACGGGUGAGUAACGCGUGGAUAACCUGCCUUUAGUCUGGGAUAACAGUUCGAAAGGACUGCUAAGACCGGAUAUGCUCACGACCUGGCAUCGGGAAGUGAGGAAAAG